ensembl:processed_transcript
GGAGCUGGCCUGUCUCCCAGCCCAGUUUCCCUCCCUGAGCUUUAGGACGGGUCCCGCCCGGGGCUUGGAAGCCCACAACCCUGCGGCAGCGAAAGGCAAAGGGCGGGAGGAGAGCUACAAAGGAGGCCGGUGGCCGCAGCCAGAGUCAGCCCCCAGCCGUGGGUAACCUUGGAGGCGCCCUCGAGUGAGCUCCUUUUCACUGAUGAUCCUGAAAGGAUGUGAGUUAAAAUCUUAGAACCGAAAGCACCGAACAGCUCCUACUUCUUCCUGAUUCUCUUGAAAGACCUUGUAGCAUAAUCUAAGGUCAGCAAAUGAAGUUUCUGGCUACCAACAUAAAAGAACUUUAAGAAUCAGUUCCCUGUAGGGAAAAUAACGUCUCAAAAUAAAAGGAUGGAAAUAGCACACUUUUUUUUUUUAAGCAGAAAAUAUUAUA